CGUAUAUUAAAGUUGUUGCGUUUGAAACGCCCGUAGUUGAGCCUCGCCGGGUGCGCGGGCUGCUGUUUUGCCCUGGUUUGUCUGGGGGGUGGGGUGGGGUCGGGUGUGGACAGUCGGCGUGGGAUCCUCCGGUAGGGCCCUUGGCGGGAGAGAGUGUGUGGGCGUGGUAACACACACACACGCACCCUCUCUCUUCCUCUGGCCCGAUGUUGGACCCCAUUCUACUGCAUUCCCCCCGUGCCCUCCUCCCCCCCCCCGGAGCCAGGGCCGCAGCCUGGUCGGCGCCCGGUGUGUGUAUGUUCCCCCUCCCUCCCUCCCUUGCUUCUAGCAGGGGUAGUGGGGUGGGGGGGUACACCCACACCGUUACCAUAAAGAAAUUGGAGUGUUCCACGCAGGCGUGUGCCCCUGCACAGUCCAGUAUGGAAUGACAGCGGAUGACUUGCGCCCGUUUGCUGGUUUCCCGGGCAGUACAGUAAUGGUCGAUAGGGGCGGUCGGGGGCAUUAGUACUGGGGCGGGAAAGGUUAAAUUUGAUGAUCGCCCCAAGACUGCCGAGGGCGAAAGCGCUUGCCAAGGACGCUUUCGUUGAUCAAGGACGAAAGCUGGGGGAGAGAAGGAGAUUAGACACCUCCGUAUUCCCAGCUGUAAACGAUGCCGACCAGGGCCCGGAGGCAUACCUACGCUGUUUGGUCGCCUCCGGGACCUCGCGGGAAAUCCCGAGUAUCCAGGUUACGGGGGGAGUAUGGUCGCAAGGCUGAAACUUAAAGGAAUUGACGGAAGGGCACCACAAUCGGCGUGGAGCCUGCGGCUUAAUU
rnacentral:rRNA from 1 species